GUGCCAGCCGCCGCGGUAAUACCGGCGCCUCAAGUGGUAGUCGCUCUUAUUGGGCCUAAAACGUCCGUAGCCGGUCUGGUACAUUCGUGGGUAAAUCAACUCGCUCAACGAGUUGAAUUCUGCGAGGACGGCCAGACUUGGGACCGGGAGAGGUGUGGGGUACUCUCAGGGUAGGGGUAAAAUCCUGUCAUCCUUCGAGGACCACCAGUUGCGAAGGCGCCACACUGGAACGGAUCCGACGGUCAGGGACGAAGCCUAGGGGCACGAACCGGAUUAGAUACCCGGGUAGUCCUAGGUGUAAACGCUGUGAACUUGGUGUCGGGGGUCCGCAAGGGGUCCCCGGUGCCGGAGUGAAGAUGUUAAGUUCACUGCCUGGGGAGUACGGUCGCAAGGCUGAAACUUAAAGGAAUUGGCGGGGGAGCACUGCAACGGGAGGAGCGUGCGGCUUAAUUGGAUUCAACGCCGGAAAACUCACCAGGGCCGACUGUUAUAUGAAGACCAGCGUAAUGAGCUUGUCGGAUUUUCAGAGAGGUGGUGCAUGGCCGUCGUCAGUUCGUACUGUAAAGCGUUCUGUUAAGUCAGAUAACGAACGAGACCCUCAUCUCUAUUUGCAACCUGUCUCUCCGGAGGCGGCGCACUAUAGAGAGACCGCUGGUGUGAAACCAGAGGAAGGCGAGGGCAACGACAGGUCAGUAUGCCCCGAAUGUCCUGGGCUACACGCGCGCUACAAAGGACGGGACAGUGGGAAGCCAGGCCGAGAGGUCGAGCUAACCCGAAACCCGUUCAUAGUUCGGAUUGAGGGCUGUAACUCGCCCUCAUGAAGCUGGAUUCCGUAGUAAUCGUGUUUCAAUAUAGCACGGUGAAUAUGCCCCUGCUCCUUGCACACACCGCCCGUC
rnacentral:rRNA from 1 species